UAGGCAACAGGUCUCGUUCAGCCAUUGGUCAGUGCCUCAGUGGGCCCCCCCUCCCCAACAAGAAACCAACUGUCAAUGAGUGACCAUUAGGGAAGUGAUUCAGCCAAGGGUCAGUGUUCAUCAGGUGGAGAGUGAGGACUGAGACCUUGGAGAGCGAAAGUUGUGCCUUGGGACCUUGUUGCUUCUUGUCAAGACGGAGAAUAACAUCGUUUGGUAGGAGACUAUAGGAACAUCAUUACCUGAUCAUGACCUGACUUCAAUAGCAAAGGCUCUGGCACCAAGAAGCUUCCAACAACUUACCACGCCCCUCUCCCACCUUUUGCUUUUAAAGGGGCUUGCUGAAAGCUUUUAGUAACUUCGGGGUUCUUGGGGGCAUGAGCCACCCAACUCCUUGUAUGAACCUAUAAUAAACCUUUCUCUGUUCCAAA